UCUUGGGUUGUAAACCUCUUUUCUUAGGGAAGAAAAAAAUGACGGUACCUAAGGAAUAAGCAUCGGCUAACUCCGUGCCAGCAGCCGCGGUAAUACGGAGGAUGCAAGCGUUAUCCGGAAUGAUUGGGCGUAAAGCGUCCGCAGGUGGUUUAUCAAGUUUGCGGUUAAAGGUUCUGGCUCAACCAGAGACAGGCCGUGAAAACUGAUAGACUAGAGUAUGGUAGGGGCAGAGGGAAUUCCCAGUGUAGCGGUGAAAUGCGUAGAGAUUGGGAAGAACACCGGUGGCGAAAGCGCUCUGCUAGGCCAAAACUGACACUGAGGGACGAAAGCUAGGGGAGCGAAUGGGAUUAGAUACCCCCAGUAGUCAA
rnacentral:rRNA from 1 species